GACUCUCUACCCUACAGGUGAGGCCAGGAACGCCCACGCGGAAUAAUUUUGAAUCGGGAUUCCCAGAGGGUUGCUGUGUGCAAGCCCGCCUUUGAGCGGGACGCCUGAUGCGGCCUGCGAGAAGCCCACCUGGUUGGUACUCGUAGUGAGGCCAACGGCCCACGGUAGGUGUGGAGAGACU
rnacentral:other from 1 species